CGGGGUGUAGCGCAGUCCGGGUAACCGCACCUGCUUUGGGAGCAGGGGGUCGGGGGUUCGAAUCCCGCUACCCCGACAA
rnacentral:tRNA from 1 species